CUGUCGAUUUUCGAAUUAAUCAUUUUACAUAUUGCGUUCAAAAUAUUCAGACAUUGUGAACGCUCGUCUUAUAUCUGUAGAUUUAAUCGAGAACAACAUUGGUGGAGUAUAGCAGAACAGCAGGACCUAUAUACACUUUGUUAAUGUUUGAAGUUACAUUAGGCUAGGUUAGUUCAUGUGUUUUCAUUAUGGGCGGUGGAAAUAAAAUUGAAGAUCAAGAAAACGCAUCGAAUCAAAAUGAAGCGAACGAACAUGGUAAUCCCAAACAGUAUGAUCCAAACUUCAAAGGUCCAUUGAAAGACAGAUCAUGUACAGACAUCAUAUGCUGUGUCUUCUUCCUCGUGUUCCUGGUGGGAAUGGCAGGAUGUUCCUUUUUUGGUUACGCACUAGGGGAUCCAAAAAGACUUACUUACCCAACUGAUUCGAUGGGGAAUUUAUGUGGCAAAGGAAAGUUCAAAGAUAAACCAAAUCUAAUGUUUUUUAAUAUUCUGGAAUGUUUGAAGAUGGGUCCGAAAACUAUCGUAAUGGGCUGUCCAACACCACAGGUGUGUGUAAAACAAUGUACAAGCUCUUACUACGUAUAUUUGGAGACAUUGGCUGCACUAAAUCUACGACCCAAUGACAAAGCAGCGAAGGAAAAAAUGUUGUGUAAAUAUAAUGUUGACGUCACCAAAAUCACUGCAAACGAUGUUGAAAAUCUGAUUAAAAAAGAAGACUGUGCCAGCUACUAUGUGAAAACAACUGAAGUGUUUGGCAGAUGUGUUCCUGCAGUCAGUGAAAUCACUGACAUGGCUCUGAAUUCCGGCAACUUUGUCCUAAAGGCGGCAGACGGCACCAAGGUGACGAGAGCCUUACUCAAAGACGCCAACCGAGAAAUGGCACGCUUCUUCAAGUAUGGACAGCAGGUGUAUGCAGAUGUGAUCAAGUCGUGGCAGUCUUUACUUGUAGGACUUGGCUUGACAAUGCUUCUUGCUAUGAUAUGGAUAGUGUUGAUGAGAUGGAUUGCUGGAAUAAUGGUCUGGCUCACCAUAUUUGCUGUGUUGGGAUGUCUGGGUUUCUCUACAUAUUUUUCAUUGGAUAAGUACAUGCAUCUCAAAAGUCAGAAUGUCACAGCAUCUUUUGAAGUGAAAGAAAUAUUUUCUAAAAAUUGGAAUAAGAUGUUCAACUUGCAGGAAAUAUGGCUAACAAUAGGUUGUAUAAGUGCCAUUGUGUUGCUCAUCUUAUUGCUCAUUCUACUUUUCCUGUGCAUGAGGAUCAGAAUCGCCAUUGAGCUCAUCAAGGAAGGCAGCAGGGCAUUAGGACACAUGUUCUCUACACUGUUCUGGCCAUUGAUUCCAUUUAUAUUUGAAUUGGUUGCUAUUGUCUACUGGAUUGCUAGUGCUGUGUAUGUAGCUUCAGUGGGCAAACCAGAGUAUUCCACCAGCACCGCUAAGGAUGAUCUCAAAGAUAUCCUGCACAGGAUACCAUGUACACCAGAUGAUACAACAACACUCAACAAAAUUUGUAAAUUUGCCAAAUAUGGAGGUGAUGAGUACACGAUUUACAUGCAGGUUUAUAUGGGGUUUAUGUUUCUGUGGAUCCUCAACUUUAUCAUUGCUCUGGGUCAGAUGGUGCUGGCUGGAGCCUUUGCCUCCUACUACUGGGCAUAUGAGAAACCCAAAGAUAUUCCAGCAUUUCCACUGGCAGGUUCCUUGUGGCGAACUGUUAGAUACCACUUGGGAUCAAUUGCAUUUGGUUCUUUGAUUAUUGCCAUCGUUCAGUUCAUUCGAAUAUUCCUUAUGUAUCUUGAUAACAAGAUGAAAGGGUCACAAAAUUCAGUUGCAAAAUUUUUCUUAAAGUGUCUCAAGUGUUUUUUCUAUUGCCUUGAGAAAUUCUUGAAAUUCUUGACCAAAAACGCCUAUAUUCUGAUUGCUGUGUAUGGGAAAAACUUUUGUGUAUCAGCUAAAGAUGCCUUUUCUCUUAUCAUGAGAAAUACUGUUAGGACUGUUGUAUUGGAUAAAACAACUGACUUUGUGCUUUUUCUGAGCAAGUUGUUAGUUACAGCUGCUGUUUCUGCAGGAGCAUAUUUCUGGUUUGAUGGACGGAUUGAUGUGUUACCACAAUACCAGCUAAAGCUCAACUUUCCCUUAGUCCCUGUCAUAAUCUUAACAAUAGCUGCUUACCUUGUCUCAUGUAUCUUCUUCAGUGUUUAUAGCAUGGCAGUGUCCACUAUAUACCUAUGUUUCUUGGAAGAUCUGGAGAAACAUGAUGGAAGUCCAGGGAAGCCGUACUUCAUGAGUAAAUCCAUGAUGUCUCUGAUGGACAAGAAGAACAAGUUUAAGGAGCCGUCUGGAAAAGAUUGAAUUGACGCGGACCUGUGUGACGUAUGUUCCCACAACGUUUUCACAACGGUUACAGCUUUAACUCAAAGACAAUGUGAUAUAUAUAUAUAUAUAUAUAUAUAUAUAUAACAUCCUGAUAUAUAAUACUCUAAUUGUAGUAGACAUGUGCUAUGACAUAAUGGGAAACAGUAUUAAUAAGAGAUUAUUGAUGGAUGCCAUCCAUGGAACAGGAUAUGGCCCUUGAACUUAGAGGAAAUGAAAAUUAGUUGUCUGGGUGUUUUUUUUCUUCUCACAAUUCCUUCAGAUGUUGAGCUGAAGUUUUGUGUAUAGCUUUACUAUCUACUGUUACAGAUUAAGUUUAACUUUCAUGACCAUUUAUCCACUUUUGACAGUUAUGACCCUAGAACUUAGGAGAUACGAAAAGAAAACAUGUCUUGACUUUUUUUGUUUGCAAUGCCGCAAGAUAUAGAGCUGUAAUGUGUAUAGCUGUAUUAUGUUCUGUUACAGAUCAUAAUAAUUAAAAUGGAAAUAUUAGACUAACCAAGUGUUAACAACUGGGCCCUGGUUCUCAUUACCGUUUUCUGAUUUGUGCAAUCAUUGCUUUAUUAAAAUUGCCCUUGGAAAGGAAGGAAUUCUUUAUUUAAUAUUUUGUCACCUUUCGAUUGCAUAAAUGCAGAAGGAUAAAAAGUUAACAGUUUAUUUUGUUUAGCAAGACCACUAGAGCACAUUGAUUUAUUAAUCAGCUAUUGGAUGUCAAACAUUUGACAAUAUUUAAUAAAUAGUAUUAGAGUGGAAACCCACUACAUUUUUUUCAUU
rnacentral:misc_RNA from 1 species